rnacentral:lncRNA from 1 species
CCUGGCGAAGGCCCUGCGCUCACAGGUGAGCAAAACGGCUCCUGCCGAGCUGCGUGUGUCGCACUGUUUAACAACAACUUCGGGGAGAACCACACUCUGAAUUAUUAGAUUCGUCAUGUUCUCCCAUAAUUAACGCCGCAUCUGUAUUCCGAGCGGAGAAUAAAAGCAAACAAGCGUCUACCUCCAUCGCAAUGAGGUAGCGGUAAAAGAGCGGUGCGCGAAUGAAAUGGCAGGGACACCGCUCAGUAAUUAAAAGCAUAUGGCGCCGCAGAUGCCGGAACACCAAACGAGUCAAUGGAACCGGCUUGUCAGAGUUGUCAAACGCCUGCGAGCGUCAGGAGUGGAUGGAGAAGAGGAGGCGAGGAGGAGAAGAAGAUGGACGACGACGCAACAACGCGGCGGCUCAGAUGGGCGGUGGGCCACCGCGCUCCACGAACAGGCCCCUCCUCCCUGUCAUCCGCCCGUGGACCUUCCGCUUGGCGGAGCCGUCUAAUUUACCGAAGACCCCGGGCAAGUCAGGUAGCGUGUUGGCGUUCAAGGCAGGGCUGUGCGAGCUGCUUUCAUGACUUAGGAGAGAGAGCGGAGAGUGGCGCUCGGAGCGCGAGCCCCCCCCCCCAAGCAGCGGCGCCGGUACCUUCUAACGUCUUCCGAGGCUUCCAAGAAAUCCGCGCAACUCAAAUAAGGCAGCAGGUGAACCGAAGAGACUUUCUUCCGGAAAAGUCGCCGUUUUCCGCGCGUGGCACACGGCGGCCUACUAACAGAUGUGACCAAGUGAACUGAAAGGGGAAUCUCGAGGAGUUUCAUCCUUUCCCUCCUCCAGUCGAGGCAGCCUUGCUGUGAGCUUUCAUACGCAGGUAUGUAGACCAUGUUGGCAGUCCACCGAUUGGCUGAUUAAUGGUUGUUGGAUUAAUUGUGGAUAUGGAGAGGCAUCAGUGCACAAAUGCAAUGGAUGCAAUUAGGAAUCAAAAAUAUCAGCUUCAUAUGACUAUUUACAACUGAAGGG